AGUGAACGCUGGCGGUAGGCCUAACACAUGCAAGUCGAACGGCAGCACAGUAAGAGCUUGCUCUUACGGGUGGCGAGUGGCGGACGGGUGAGGAAUACAUCGGAAUCUACUUUUUCGUGGGGGAUAACGUAGGGAAACUUACGCUAAUACCGCAUACGACCUACGGGUGAAAGCAGGGGAUCUUCGGACCUUGCGCGAUUGAAUGAGCCGAUGUCGGAUUAGCUAGUUGGCGGGGUAAAGGCCCACCAAGGCGACGAUCCGUAGCUGGUCUGAGAGGAUGAGCAGCCACACUGGAACUGAGACACGGUCCAGACUCCUACGGGAGGCAGCAGUGGGGAAUAUUGGACAAAGGGCGCAAGCCUGAUCCAGCCAUGCCGCGUGGAGGAUGAAGGCCUUCGGGUUGUAAACUGCUUUUGUACGGAAAGAAAAGCAUCUUGCUAAUACCGAGGGGUCCUGACGGUACCCUAAGAAUAAGCACCGGCUAACUACGUG
rnacentral:rRNA from 1 species